rnacentral:ribozyme from 1 species
UUUUGUUCCAUCAUUGUAUUUUUCGUUCUGUUGUUGCUUUUUUCUCUCUCUCCAAACGCAUUCUAUUGCUCACAAGUGAUCGAAAAAAAGGAGGUGACAAGAAAGGAGAGAGAUCUGUGAGAACAUAGAAGAAAGGAAACACACACACAGCGAGAAAAAAAUUCUUCGGUCUAAAUCGAAACGGGAUUAACCGGGGGGGUGAAAGAUAAAAAUAGCAAACAAACUGCCUUCGAUAUU